UCGCGAAGUAGUGCUUAAGGGCUUCGUC
rnacentral:sRNA from 1 species